GGCCCUGUGGCUUAGUUGGCUAAAGCACCUGCCUAAUAAACAGGAGAUCCUGGGUUCAAAUCCCAGCAGGGCCU
rfam:Alligator mississippiensis ScZkoYb_106, whole genome shotgun sequence.